UCGCUAUUCGGCUUCAACUGUAACAAACCGCUUUUCACUCGACCCCUUGCUCGACUGGCUAUUGGGCCAAAUAGGAUAGGGUUCAAGCGUGUGAGAUGGCGCCGAGUGCUAUAAAUUUUGACCCAGAGUUUGACAUAUUCGGCAUCUCAGCAACUCCCAAUAUUCGGCCCUCACAACUUGAAAUAUAUCAAUUUUGGCUGCUUUGAGUGGCUGAAUUCACCUGGAAGUCAUGAUUUAUUUAUUUAUUUAUUUUUGAAUUUUAAGUUUGGUGAUAAUGCUUUUAAUAUACUUAAGGUAAUCAAUCCUAUUAUAUAUAGAUUUGACAUUAAACACCUGUUCUGUAAUUGAAGAAUUUCAGUAGAAAUUUUGUAUUCUCAGUUUGGGUAUGUUUGUGUAUCUAUGUUUGCUUAGGUAUCUCUAUGUAUCUCUAUUUUGGGAUGUCUCCAGCAGAGAAGAAAACUGUGCAUAUUUUAUUUAUGCCUCCUAGGUGCUUGAUAAAAUGCCACUAAGAAUGGCUGGUUUUUACUAUACUUUUAUAUUGUUUUCCUGUGGGUGUUUUUUUAAUAUAUAUAUAUAUAUAUAUAUAUCUGUAUAUAUAUAUAUCUAUAUCUCUAUACUAUUAUUAAAAGUGAAACCUCACUUUCCCAUGGUUUAAAGCAACAAUGGUUUAAAAGAUUUUCAUGGAAAAUUUUCUGCCUAAAUAAACUUGAAACAUUUUCGGUUGAUUUUUGUUUUCCAUUUUCUAUGAUGCUCAUACCAAAUGUUAAAUGCGGAAAACUUUUUCUCGAAAAUGUUUUCUGUCCAAAAAAAUGUUGUGGUUGUGAUAGUUACUUAUUGCUUCAAAUAGCCAUAGCUAUCAUUUUAGUUUGGUCAGUGAGAGAGUUGAUACUUGGCAUUUCCUUAAUCCAUUUUGAUGUGUAGAUUUUAUUACAUCAGAAAAUAUAAAAGCCUUUGCUUCAUCUUAUAUUACAUCAAAGAAUAAAAACUGUUUUGUCUACAUCCCCUGUCAUGAGUGUCCAACUGAGAAAGAUUUUACAAUGCACUUCUUUUCUCUACUGAUCUUCAUAUAUUCUUAAUAUGUUGCGAAAAUAUUCAAGAAGCGAAAAUAUUCAUGAAGAAGAAUCGAAGAAAGUUGGUCUCUGGCAAAGGAGGAAGCUGCCAAGUCUAAAGCAGCAAAGGAUGUUACAAAGGUUUUGACACUGAAGGUUUGUAGCGAAGUGGUAAGAGUUGCGGGCUUAGAUGGUUGAGAACUAUCGUAUUGUGUGGCUCACAGUAUCUGGUAUAUGGAGUCGUCUUUGCAAAAGUCAUAUAUUCAAGAAUGCAAAAGGAUAGCUAUAUAUCUGAUAGCCGUCAAAGGAUUGUUAGCAGCCACUUGAUGUUAGCAUUGAAUUUACCUUCAAUGUAAUAUAUAGGAUUCUUUCAGGUAAAAUUGCCUAUUUACUUGUGGAUGGAAACUUAUUACAUUUUCUUUAAUGACAACUGUGGGAGCCAAAUAUCAGGGAGACGCAGAUAGGCCAAGUACAUAUUUAGAAAAUCAGGAUAUAUACUAUAUUCGCCCCCAACUUGUACGUUCUAGAUGUCGAGUGUCCUAAUCGACCAUGAAGCCAGUUGAGCAAGGAGCCGAGUGAAAGUUGGAAUAUGACAAAAGGAGGGCCGAGUGAA